rnacentral:rRNA from 1 species
AUGCGUAUCUCUCGAGACGUGACUUUUGAUGAGUCUCGUCCUUUCUACCCACGUCCAUCUUCCUCGAUUUUUUCAGUGGAGGAUAUCUCUUUUCUCACUUUUCCUGACUCACCUAUCACCCCCGUCGCGCCUGUGCCUAUUCGUUCCACUCCCUCUGCUUCUCCACCUCUAGUCAAUUUGCAGCCACCAUCUUCUCCGGUCUCCUCGCCUAGCAUGUCACCGGAUUCUACACCUUCAUCUCCGGUGACUUCUUCGUCGCCACCCCCCGAUUCUACCUUGGCGAUUCCUCCUUCUAUUGUUCCAUCUUUUCCUCAGCAUUACACUCGUCGUUCACGACCUGUGGAUGCCUCAUUGGAUGAGUUGUCCUCUUCCUCUCAGCCUACUUAUGGCUUGCGUUCUCGUCCUCGUCCGCCUGUUGAUCGCUUUGGAUUUCCCACCGCUGGUGCUGCUGUUCUUGAGCCGACUUCUUAUCGUCAGGCUGUUGUUCAUCCUGAAUGGCAGUUUGCGAUGGCAGAGGAGAUUGCUGCUCUUGAACGCACUGGUACCUGGGAUCUUGUUUCUCUUCCUCCCGGAGUCCGUCCCAUCACUUGUAAGUGGGUCUACAAGGUUAAGACUCGCUCCGAUGGUUCUCUUGAGCGUCACAAAGCUCGUCUUGUGGCUCGUGGUUUUCAGCAGGAGCAUGGUCGUGAUUAUGACGAGACUUUUGCUCCUGUGGCCCAUAUGACCACUGUUCGUACACUUCUUGCCGUUGCCUCUGCACGCCACUGGUCUAUAUCUCAGCUUGAUGUUAAGAAUGCCUUUCUUAAUGGUGAGCUGCGUGAGGAGGUGUACAUGCAGCCACCACCUGGGUAUUCUGUUCCUGAUGGCAUGGUAUGUCGUCUUCGUCGCUCUCUUUAUGGCCUUAAGCAAGCCCCUCGCGCCUGGUUUGAGCGUUUUGCCUCUGUGGUCACUACUGCUGGUUUUUCAGCCAGUGCUCAUGAUCCAGCAUUGUUUAUUCACCUUUCUCCUCGUGGUCGGACUCUUCUUCUUCUCUAUGUUGAUGACAUGAUCAUCACUGGGGAUGACCCUGAGUAUAUUGCCUUUGUAAAGUCCUGUCUUAGUCAGCAGUUUCUUAUGUCUGAUCUUGGACCUCUUCGCUACUUUCUUGGGAUUGAAGUCUCUUCUACCUCUGAUGGCUUUUUUAUAUCCCAGGAAAAGUAUAUCCAGGAUCUUCUUGCUCGUGCUGCUCUUACUGACGAGCGCAUUGUUGAGACUCCUAUGGAGCUCAAUGUUCACCUCCGUGCUACUGAUGGUGAUCCUCUCCCUGACCCGACGCGUUAUCGUCAUCUCGUUGGCAGUCUUGUCUAUCUAGCUGUCACUCGUCCGGACAUCUCUUAUCCGGUUCAUAUUCUGAGUCAGUUUGUCUCUGCUCCCACAUCGGUUCACUAUAGUCAUCUCCUUCGUGUUCUCCGAUAUCUUCGGGGCACGAUCUCUCACCGUCUAUUCUUUCCUAGCUCCAGUUCUUUACAGCUUCAGGCCUAUUCGGAUGCUACGUGGGCUAGUGAUCCUUCUGAUCGCCGUUCACUUUCUGCUUACUGUGUUUUUCUUGGCGGUUCUCUCAUUGCCUGGAAGACGAAGAAACAGAUUGCAGUUUCCCGUUCGAGUGCCGAGGCUGAGUUGCGAGCCAUGGCUCUUUUGACGGCAGAGUACAGGUGCUAUUAG